AUCGUCGGUGACGAUAAAUAACCGUGUUAGUAAUAAAGAUUAUAAAAAUUUAUAGUUGUCUAAAUUGUCUUUGUGCUCUAACUAUUCAUAGUAUUAAUAAAUCCACUAAAAAAUGAAACCCACGGGAGUUCCUGUACAAGAUGAAAUGUUUCCUGAAGGGGUUGAUUCAGGUUUAAUGGACAUGGAUGAGGCUUGUUCAUCAAAUAUGAUGGUAGAACUAGCAGCAAGUGAAAGAGCAGUCCAUGCAGAUUUCUUCAAUCUGUUUGAUGAUCUUUUUGAUGAUGAUGAUCUGUCCUAAUUCCUAAAUUAUUUGCAACAGGAUCCUUAAGAAAAUUUUGUAAUGUUUGGUGUAAAUAAUGGAUUUUUUAUGUAAAGAUAACAAAAAGCAAUCAGAUUAAAGUCCCAACUAAAAUAUAAACGAUUCAGUUGAUAUGGAUUGAACCAAUUAUUGAAUUAUCUAUAUAUAUAAGAUAUGUACCAAUGCUGUAAGGCUAGUUCUUGAUUAGAAAAAAUGCUCAUCAAGUCUUAUAUUUGUAACAUUGUAUAUAUAUAAAAAACUGUUGAAUUAACUUCAGAGUUUGCUCUGGCAUGUGACAAGUGUCAUAUGGUAUAAGGUUGUGAAGGUACGGUUGUAUGGAAGCCUACUGCGUUGUCUUUCAAGGUUGACAACCCUCCAUGUUGGAGAGAGAUAACUCUCCAUUCUCACUAAAAUACUGUUUAUGUUCUGUACCAAGCUUUGAACAAUUAAACCAACGCAACUAUGUCGCAUGACAACGCUGGAUGCUCCCAGACGCUGCGACAAUUAUUCUUUUCAAAAUUAAUUUCUUAUUAGAUUAUCAUGUCAUUUAUAUCAUUCAAAUGAAUAAAAUCCAAAAAUAGUUUUAUUAAAUAAAAACUUGUCCUUGAUAUGCAACAGUGCAAUUAUCUUUCAAAUAAUUUUCAUUUUGAUAAUCAAAAUCUGGAAUCCAAUUAAUGCCUUGUGGUCUUAUGGUGAUUCAUGCUUGGAGAAAAUUUUUCGAACCAGCGUUCGUAAACUCACAGCCCUCACAAGAACAUUUUAUCCGAGUUGAAGACUUCUUAUAUUAAACUCCACUGAAAUAUUACUAUGACAAUGUAGCGUAGUCCAAUUAAACAUUGAAAAUAAAGAUAAAGAAAACUGCAUUAGGAUUGCGAUUGUCAGGUUCAGACCAUGUC